GUCCCCAUCGUCUAGCGCGGUCCAGGACACCGGCCUUUCACGCCGGCGACAGGGGUUCGAAUCCCCUUGGGGACGCCA
rnacentral:tRNA from 1 species